CCCACACUGCGCCAGGGUUCGAAUCCCACGGGCGGCUAAACAAAAGAGGAAGAAAGAAAGGUCCGAAGCCGCGUCGCCCAUCCUCGACUAGCGCCGCCCAGUUAGGCAGCCCGAGGAGCGACGGCGGCAGAGCGGGGACGCGGCACUUGCGACGGCAGUCUCGAGGAUGCGGACGCGAGGCCGCGGCGGGAUGCGCCGCCUCUGGGCAUCGGCCGGCCGCGGCGGUUGACUUCAAAGGGUUGUGGUUUCAGGAUGCCAGAUCGGCAACAGUCCGAGGAGCUGGAGGAGCAGGUGGACCUGGAGGGGGACGACGACGAUGGGUACUGCCGCCGCGGCCAGGACGACGACGGGAUGGCGGCCGACCCGGCCGUGGGAGGCAGCGAUGGAGACGAGGUGGACAAGGGGGCCAAUGGGGACUGGCCCAAGGACGAGGAGGAGAAGAGGAAGUGGGAGGAUCUACUCGCGUCGCCGCCGCACGGAUCCGAGGUCUCCAUUGACGGCCUGCCCAGGGACAUCACCGAGGAGACCCUCCGCGAGCUGCGUGACCCAUUGGGUGAAAUCUAUGAGCUCUUUGUGAUGAACGAAUGAAUGACAAGUGAGGCUCACCAAGGAUAAGGACACCAAUGAGAACGAGGGAUUCGCCUUUGUAGCGUUACUCUGGCGCUACCAUUUCGGUGAGCCACAGAUUUAAAUUGUAUAUGCAUUGGAUGUAUUUGCUACAUUCCAUGUGUAACACAGGGACAGGAUAAGCCGUGUUCUAUGCUUCAAAUAUUUUUCUUCAAUUCCAUUUCUCUUUCCACUCAGUUCUUACUUUUCUGGUAACCAGCAAUAUCUCGUUCCUUUAUUCAUAAUGGGUACUGUUUGUUUUGAUCAGUGUGAGAACCAAUAUAUUUUGAGUCAAUAGCGAAGUUUUGGAUAUAUCAGAAAUUAUGUUGUAGCUAAACAUAUUGAAACUGGUUAGCUGAUUUGUUUGUUUGGGUGGCCUAAAAAUGGAUGAUUUUGAGACAGUGGCAAUGUUUUGGAUUUGAAAGGAAAAACAUUAUGUCCUUGAAUAAUUUAGUACCUCAAGAACAUUUUGUGUACUUUAGUUUAGUUUGGAAACAUUAUGUCCUGAAGGAGUGGGGUCACCUGAUGGAAUGCUUGGACUUGCCGAGCUAAUUGGGGGUCACAUGUUUCGAAUUGUUUGUCGCUAACCUAGAAUACCCAAAGAACAAGUCAUAGAGUUUUGCUUCAUAAUUUUCUUGGUUCUUUUUUGGGAACCAUAUUAACUAAUGAUGUUUUGCUUCUUUCAAUUUCCCCAUCAAAGGUUAUUAGUUGAUUUACUUACAGCAUGUUAUGCACCACCUUCGCAAUUUACUUACUGCAUGUUAUGCACCACUACCGGUAGCAUUGGUGUAAAAUGUGUUGAACAGUGUAUCUUUUCAUGAAGAGAGGUACAUGUUUUUAAUGAAGUUUGUUCCUUUUCAGUGUAUCUGAAGCUAAGCUUCCAGAGUAUCCACAGAAGACUGAAGCAUUGCAUGUACAUUUGCAGGUAACAUGUAGAUAUCAUGCAAAGUUUUAUCUAUAGAUGAUUUCCUUGCAUUAGUGGGGUUUUAUAUUUGACAAAAAGGAGUUCUAUUGGAAUCAAAAUGAAUCACUGUUGACUAGGUUGGAAUCUGAGAGGUCCUCAUCCCAGAUGAGGAAAGAGGAUUUCCUGCCCAUUGGGGGAGAAGAUCUCAGUGAGGAUCCAUCAUUUAUUUGGAAUAAUCUUUGCUGAUUGAUUGUUUUUUAAGCUUUACAUUUUAAUUUUGGAGGACUCAUGUUCUUUUCUUUGCACACAUUUGAGCAGAAGGCCAGAAAAAGUAUCCAGGAUUUCAAUGGACAAUGGGGUUGGAUCAGAUGUUUUUUUCUUGAUGCCACCUAUUUAAAUAUAUGUCUAUGAUAUGAUUUAAUAACUCAGACAUGUCCUAAUCAUUGAUGCUCAUGUAACUCCAAUGCUCUUUUGUAGGACAUGAGUUUGCUUGCAACAGCUGAACAUGACUGAUAGAUUCCAUUUUGCAAACAGUGACAGCCCUCCCAUUUAGUAUUGGUCUUCCAUCUGCUUUCGAUGCAAUUUUCGGACAUGGACAUCUCACUUCUCCAUGGUCUUGUCCCUGAAACACUUGUUCAAAUUGAUAAGCUUCUGUCAGAAAGAGCGUUAGCACGGGCCAACUUAGCCUAAGGUUCCAGAUGAGACCCAAGGUUUGGUGCGCCUCCUUAAAUUCUAGUGGGACGGAUUCAUUCGCCGAGCAGAGAUCCGAGAGCUCGUCUUCUCCUCGACGGCCGGUGGCGACGAAGCUCCUUUCCUCUCCCCUUCUACUCAGGUGUUUGCCAAGGACAAUGGAGGCCGGGGGAGACGCCGAGCCUGCGCAAGCGGUGCCGGCCACGGCCAGGGACUGGGCGGAGCUGCCCCUCGACGCCAUCGCGUCGGUCUUCGCCAGGCUCGGCCCCGUCGAGAUCCUGAUGGGCGCCGGACUCGUGUGCCGCUCGUGGCUCCACGCGGCCGAGGGGCUUUCUUCCCCGUGGAAGCACCUCGACAUGGCGAGCAGCCACAAUGUCGUCAAGGACAAGUGUAGAUCCGGCGAUGCGGGUGCCCUGCGUGCCAUGGCGAGGAAGGCCGUGGACCGCUCCGCCGGCCAGCUGGAGGUGUUCGUAGGGGAGGAGUUUGUCGAUGAUGACCUGCUCAAGUACAUUGGGGGCAGGGCACCAUCUCUCAAGGUUCUUCGCCUAAUAUCAUGCUUCCAUAUCCGCAAUGAAGGAUUUGUUGAGGCAAUCAGCAAGUUCCCUCUGCUUGAGGAGCUCAACCUUUCUACCUGAAAAAGUAUAGGUGGCCGUGCAACCUAUGAGGCUGUUGGCAAAGCAUGCCGAAACCUAAAGCAAUUCGUAGCUGACAAAGAUUUCACAACAUACGGCAAGUUCGGCCAUGACGAAGCCUAUGGUAUCGUAACAAUGCACGGGCUGCGCUCCCUCAAGAUUUCUUGUGGUGAACUGAACAAGGCAAUGGCUGGCAUCCUUGACAACUGCCCUCACCUGGAGUCCCUUGACCUACUUUGUUGCUUCAACGUUGUCAUGGAUGGCGGAAUGCGGGCCAAGUGUGCUGGCAUCAAGAUGUGCGUCGAUCACAGCUAUGGUGACAUCUUCCCUAAUGGCCUCUUAAUUAUCUGAUGGUUACAAUCUGUACUGGGCUGUGAGCCCGCGAGCUGCAUCAUCAGGUUUUAAUGAAAAUGCUUCUACAACUUGUAGUACAUGACAAAGAGAGGAGAGCCUAGUGCAAAGUUCAGAGAAGCUCUUCCUGCAUUGAGAGUCUCCCGCAGUCUGUUCUCUUCGGAGCCUUGCAAGAACACGUCAGGCCGAGGUCAGAGAAACCACGCAAAUACGCAAUAUGCUGCAAUUGCAGUGCAAAGCUGAGUGAUUGUCACCAUUCUGUUCUUUGGUUCAUAUUUCUCCUACCUGACAAUCCGGGACUUUAGAAGCUCCAUCCAAAAAUCAUGAACGUAAAGAACAAGAUAUAGAUUGUCUGCAUCUUCUAGGCUAAGUUGGAGAAACAGUAGCUGAGCACCUCGCUCCUCGUGCUGAAUUUCAAGCUACUCAUGCGGCAGAUCGCAGAUGUAGCCCUUGUAUACGUGCACGGGAGCGGACAAUGUGUCAAUUAUUUUGAAAUGUGCCACAUUUUGUUUUUUUAAGUGAAUCCUACUUUUUGUAUAUAGUGAAAAAUAUUUGUCGGACCCGAGGCAACGGGACUGCUCAUAGGCGUAGAAUAUUUUAGAAUAAGGGAUAGCGCAUGGACGUUCCUUACCUCUCUUGUAACUACUCGUACAGUAGUAGGACUAGUUGAUGUACAAGAAAACUACUCGAUCACGUUGGAGUAGGAUUUAAUAGUA